GGUUGACCUCGAAUCAGGUAGGACUACCCGCUGAACUUAAGCAUAUCAAUA
rnacentral:rRNA from 2 species